AUUCAAAUUACACGGUUAAUAAUAUUCAAGUGAUCACUAGGAGAAAAGCAGAUUGCAGCGGAGCAACAAGAGCUGGUCAUGUUGGGAAUUUGAAUUACCCUUCAUUGUCUGCAGUGUUUCAACAAUACGGCAAGCAUAAGAUGUCUACGCAUUUCAUUAGGACGGUGACUAAUGUUGGAGAUCCUAAUUCGGCUUACAAAGUUACAAUCAGGCCACCCAGUGGCAUGACAGUGACAGUGCAGCCGGAGAAGCUUGUGUUUAGGCGGGUGGGACAGAAAUUGAACUUUCUGGUUAGAGUUGAGGCAACGGCAGUUAAGCUCUCCCCCGGGAGCUCAAGCAUGAAGAGUGGUAAAAUAGUAUGGUCAGAUGGGAAGCACAAUGUCACUAGUCCCAUAGUCGUGACAAUGCAGCAACCUCUCUAGUUUUGGUAUCCUAGGGAUUUUCGGGUUUUAGGAAUUUUGCCUAUCUUAAUAUAUAGGAUUAUUAUGAAUCAUCUCCUAAUUAUGGUCUAUAUAAAUGUAUAAUGAGAAUGUAUUUGUGGGUGUUUUCUAUUUCAGAAAGCUGCUGGUGGAGUGAAAAAAAGAAGCUUGGGAUGAAGAUGUACUUUGUAUCUUAAUAUAUGUUUUGUUGUAAGGUGAAGAAUCAAAAAUGGUUGUGUAAAAAAAAAAAUCCUGUGUGUGUUAAGACAAUGUCGAGAGUAAUGAAAAAGGUCUCUCUUUUUCAUAUUUUAAAAAUACUGUGUGUUGAAUCUUCAACUAAUUCUGCUUUGUUUAUGGCUUCUUGGUGGUGACUGGUGAAAGCAUGUGGGGAAGGUUGAUAUUCUAUUAAAAGUAUGAAUGUGCUUUACAAACUAAAGGCAAUCAUUAAGACAAAAAUAAUGUGGGGUAACUUGACUCAUUGAAUGUCUCUUUUCUUUUCCACAUUUUUAUUUUUUGCAUUUAAUUAAUGUUGUACUAGUUCUGGGGGUACGCCCAUGUGCUUCCAAGAAAAAAACAGAGCAUUUAGGGCUAACCUUAAAUCUGGAUUAGAACAUAAAUGUAAUGAUUAUGUAUAUAUGAACAUGAAUAUAAUAUCCCGUCAAUCGAGUUUUAGAAGAUUCGGAACAAAGUUGAAAGCUUGAUUAUGUGUUAUGGGAUGUAGAACAAGAAUCUUAUAUGUUCAGUACUGAUUACAGGACAGUGACAAUGGACAUCAUCAAUAUUAAUUGUUGAGGAUGACAAAUCACCCGUUAGUUAAUUGAAAGCCAGAUAGCAGGAAAAUUAACGGGUUGCUUUACAGCCAUGGACCAUGAUUCUAAGAAUCUAAGCUGGCUUUGUCUGUUCCACUAGGCUCAUCAUAAUCAUGAUGUCUCUCGUUCCUAUCUUCUUUCAUGAACGCGGUUUUUAUCAGUAUUCAUUUAUUUAAAGGGGGGGAAAAAAUUAGGUUAAGAAAUUUGAUCAGCUCUUUACAAGGUUCGAUAGCAGGCCAAGUAAGGUUUCCACAAUCUCAGCCAAAUUUGCAGUCACAUGUCUUCAAGCUACAAAUGACAUUUUUGAUCCGGUUAGUAUCGAUUUAGAUUCAAUACUGAGUUAAGAGUUUUAUGAGCCUCUUUAUAAUAUUGUGAUUGAUAAUAAUUAGAUUUGAAAAAAGUAAUAGUUUGCACAUUAAUACUAUAAAUAGACGCGUGGUAAAAGAUUAAGUUAAGUAUUACUUAACAAGGCACUGAAUUAAUGAAUUUAAAUUCCAUUUGUACAUAACUAUUUUCUAAAUUUUCAUGACCUAAUCACGAUAGUUUGUUGUAAUGCAUGAAAGAGGGCCAGAGGGGAGAGAGCCUUAGAUAAGACAAUUCUAAUUUGCUCAUUCAGCUCAAUAGAAUCAUGUCACAUUUGUUAUAUUCUCUCUCUCACAUGUUCAUAGUAAAGAUUUUAUUGGAUCUGUGGAUGGCCGUAUUUGUCCCAAAAAAAGAAAAAAGAAAAAAGAAAAAGAAAGAAAAUACAAUUUUAAAUUUAAUGGGCCUUUUACUAUCCAAAAAAUAAAAUAUAAUGGGCCUACUGAAAAGAUCCCCAUUGGAGACCAACAGUCUUUUCGUGGGCCAAAUGGCAGGGCGGGCUGAAUGUAAAUUGUGAUCAUAGCUGCAAGGAAGAAGGCACAAAUUGCAAACCCACGAAAAAGCAAGCCACAUCACAACACAGCUUCACAAAAAUGGUACGCAGUCGUUUCAUUUUCGUCACUACAUAUAUUCUGUUGGCAUUUAACCUCAUUAUAUGGCUGCAACUAUCGUGAACCUCUCGAAGGACCAAAAAAAUUAUGACCCAAGGCAUUAGCUACACGCAUGAUAUAGUUUUGUGCAUAUAUAUUCUGCAGAUUCCAAAAGGUUUACAUCAACAUCUUAUGAUCUUGUGAAUUGUGAUAUAAAGAGUAUAUAGCCUAUAGCUAGGUGGUCCUGGUAAUUGGGUUGUUACUUUUAUUACAUAGUACAGUGUGAUAUAAUAUAUAUAUAUAGCCGAUGGCUUCCUUAUCUGCUUGUUGCAUGACAAUGACAUAUAUAUAAUCCUUCCAAAUGAAUAGCUAGAUAUCGCCGCUUCACAAAUAAUUUCUUGGUAUAUAUGCCACCGCGGUUUUGAAUGUUUUCUUGUUUUUGAUGGCAGUAUCAUUGGAGCUUCACUAUUCUCCAUGAAAUUAGUCUUUAAAUCUUGUUUCAUUGGAAGUUAAUAAACUGAUGCUAUCAAGAAAACUUUCAAAACCACGAUAGCCUACGAUUUGUUGCUAGUUAUAGUAUGUCCAUUAGGUUCACAACUUGUACUAAAAUUUAACAAAUGGUUACUUUUUAAAUAAAGACUAAUUUCGAAUUACCCUCCUAAAUAAAUAAAAAUUUUCAAAAUAUUUCUCAACUAUUGUAAACCUCAAAUUAUUCCUAUUUUUGUUAUUAAAAAAAGAUUACAUUAAAAAAAAAAUUCAUCAACCUACGCUCAUUUUUCCUUAUCUUUUCUUUUGAAUAAAAAUAGGAUUUAGUUAAAGUUUAUGAUGGUUUUAAGGGUAUCUGGAAAAUUAGUAUUUUAUGAAGGAAAAUCUGAAAUUUAUCUUAUUACGUUUUGACACAUGUAAAAUAUGAGCUAAAACACAGUUAUAUACUUUUGUACAAAAUAUGACACUUUAGUUAAUUAAAUUAAUUAACUCUUUGCCCACAUGAUAAUUUUUAUUGUUUAUAUUUUUAUCUAACGAAUAAAUUUAGACUAAAUUAAUUUGUGUGGAUUAUGUCAUGGGUAUCUUUCACUUGGGCACACCGGCUAAGCAUAAUCUUGCAACUUCUUUGUUGGAGGAGCCCCAAGCAAAUUUGGAAAUUUUUAUCAAAAGGAAAUUUAAAAAACAGAAGUUUCCUGGUUAGCAUAGCACCACAAAGUAGAAAAGCUUAUUUAUGUGAGAUGAGCCGGCGUACCUCGUUAUCUGUGCACGCAUCAAUAUUGUCUCUCCCGAAUUUUUAUUUGGCAAAUAAAUUAUAUAGCAAGCAAGAUUAUGGUCUUACUUUUACUCGCCGCCUUUAACUUUUGUUCAAACUAUUUCGACAUUUGAGUCCUUCUAAAUGUUGGCAAAUUUGGGUCACAUAUGAAUCCUUCAAAUAAAUGACACAACAAAGCAUUCCAUACUUAUAUUCAACUUUAAUUUUUGUUAAUCUCUAUCAAUAUUUCCAUAUUCAACAAGUACAUCUCAUCUUGUGAUAAGAGUGAAGGUGGUCCUGGAUAUUGGCUUGGUCGUUACUUUCAUAGAUAGUACACUGUGAUAUAUACUUGAUGCCUUCAUUCAUUUUCCUUCUUCUCUUUCAGCGUAUGCAUGAUAAUGACAUAAUCCUUCACAAUGAAUUCUACCAGAUAGUCUUGCGCACGUCCUCAUUUUUCUAGUAUACACUUCUAAUCGAAUCAGUUUUUAAUAUUAUUAAACUGCGUGACUAACAACGCGCUCGUAUUAAAAUAAAAAUAAAAAUACUCACACUAGAGAAUGAAUGAUUUUAUAUAUAAAUUCAUAGAGAUUAGUAAGCUCCAACUAAUAAUACCGCCAUCAAAAACAAGAAAACGUUCAAAACCACGGUAGCCUUCGAUUUGUAACCAUAUAAAAUAUAGUAUGUCCGUUAGGUUUACAACUUGCUCUUAAUAGCUAAUAAUCAUUUGGUGGGCUAAUCAAGUGAUUACUUUGUAAUAAAUUUUUUUUGACAUUGUUGAGUACAUAAAAGCACCAGGUCGGCCAUGCUAUUGUUUCCGCCCCAGCACGGAUCGCUUCAGCCGAGUGAUGCGAGCAGAACACGGGGGCAAGCCUUGGCCGUACAGCAGCGAUGAAGAAGGGGACCGAAAAAAUUGAGAGAGGGAAAACGCUGCCAAAUUGCAACCAGACCAUUUUCUUGANNNNNNNNNNNNNNNNNNNNNNNNNNNNNNNNNNNNNNNNNNNNNNNNNNNNNNNNNNNNNNNNNNNNNNNNNNNNNNNNNNNNNNNNNNNNNNNNNNNNNNNNNNNNNNNNNNNNNNNNNNNNNNNNNNNNNNNNNNNNNNNNNNNNNNNNNNNNNNNNNNNNNNNNNNNNNNNNNNNNNNNNNNNNNNNNNNNNNNNNNNNNNNNNNNNNNNNNNNNNNNNNNNNNNNNNNNNNNNNNNNNNNNNNNNNNNNNNNNNNNNNNNNNNNNNNNNNNNNNNNNNNNNNNNNNNNNNNNNNNNNNNNNNNNNNNNNNNNNNNNNNNNNNNNNNNNNNNNNNNNNNNNNNNNNNNNNNNNNNNNNNNNNNNNNNNNNNNNNNNNNNNNNNNNNNNNNNNNNNNNNNNNNNNNNNNNNNNNNNNNNNNNNNNNNNNNNNNNNNNNNNNNNNNNNNNNNNNNNNNNNNNNNNNNNNNNNNNNNNNNNNNNNNNNNNNNNNNNNNNNNNNNNNNNNNNNNNNNNNNNNNNNNNNNNNNNNNNNNNNNNNNNNNNNNNNNNNNNNNNNNNNNNNNNNNNNNNNNNNNNNNNNNNNNNNNNNNNNNNNNNNNNNNNNNNNNNNNNNNNNNNNNNNNNNNNNNNNNNNNNNNNNNNNNNNNNNNNNNNNNNNNNNNNNNNNNNNNNNNNNNNUACGGUACAGCAGGGAGCGAGACCAGAUAGCUGCGCGUGAUCCGAACCGUGCUAUAGAAUUGGAGGGGGAGCUGCGCAGGUUGGCGCAGGUGAUAGAGGAGAUACAGGGCAAGAGAAAGCCCCCAAGCUGGAGGAUAAUGUUAGAUGAAGAAUCUCCGUUAUCAACUGAGAUCAUGAGUACCAUAAUCCCAAGAGAUUUCCGCUUCCCCGACCUCAAAUACUCCGGGCGAAAUGUCCCAUUGGUGCACAUUGAGCGUUUCAACGAUAUGACGGGUGUGCAGGGGCUGACAUCAGCUCAGAGGUGCAGGGCGUUCCCGUUGACACUAGAGGGACGAGCUCGAGAAUGGUACCGCAAGCUGCCCCGAGGAAGUAUAAAGGGGUAUGAGCAGAUGUGCCAGGAGUUGGCCGAGCAGUUCCGAGGGGCAGUGGCCCCAGAGGACGACAUGAUGGAACUGAUGGGGAUGAAACAGGAGGAGCAUGAAUCCCUUCGAGAUUUUGUAAAAAGAUAUCACCGAGCCGUACUGGAUCUGGGAGCUUUUAAUCACCCGCAGGGCUUCAGGGAUGGGCGGAAUAUCAGCUCGGUCCCGCCCUUACCCCAUAGCUCCGAGAGCACAACAGUUCCAACACAGCCGGGCUCAACCUCCGCGCCCCCCGAUCCCAGAGCGGCAGCGAGAAUUCCGGCAGAUGGCUGCCCACCCCUAUCACAACACUCCCAGAGCAUCACAUGCAACCAAUUCUAGGGCUAGUCGACCAGAUCAGUUAGCGACUGUGCCAGCCCGAGGUGACAUUCAUGAUAACCGAGCAGUUCAGCUGAUAGACCAGAGCUUGGCGUAUAGACAAUACACUCUGUUAAAGAUCUCCAUGGAGGAAUUGUAUGAGAGGAUCGAGGGACGAGGCUUGCUGUACCCUCUAGUCCCAAUAACAAAACCGACUCACCGACGGGAUAAGAGCAGAUUCUGCAAGUUCCACGACACUCACGGUCACACUAUCAGCCAAUGUCGGGACCUGAAGAUUCAGGUGGAGGAUUUGGUGAGGAACCGAUACUUGGACGAGUAUGUAGAUGGAAUGUCCCCUGUCAUGGAAUCACAAUAUACACGGGAUGAAGGGGUUGAGAGGGAUUUGGAACGUGAACAGCCGACCAUCCGUGUAAUAGCAGGAGGGCCAACAUUGGCCGGGGAUUCGAACAGGGCACGGAAGAACUAUGGGAGAUAUGCCAUGACUAGCAAAGAAGUGCUUUUCAAUUUGCCGGCAACCAAGAAGGUAAAAGUGCGGCAAGUUCCCAUUAUGUGGACAGAUGACGAUGAAGAGGGUAUCUUAUAUCCGCACGAGGAUGCAUUGGUGAUCAAGGCAAUGGUGGCCGGUACAGAAUUGCGACGAAUACUAGUAGACACAGGCAGCUCAGUUGACAUCCUGUUUAAGUCGGCUCUAGAUGAUAUGGGGAUUGCAGACUUGAAAUUGGAGCGGACAAAUACAUCCUUAAAGGGAUUUGGAGGGGGACGGUUAACUCCCCUGGGGAUUAUCGAACUCCCAAUUACUAUGGGGACGAAGCCAUUUGAAAGAACAAUGAUGCUGGAUUUAGUCGUGGUAGAGGAAAGAAGCCCUUACCAGAUGAUACUGGGGAGACCAUUCAUGAGGAUAAGUCAAUGCGUUGUAUCCACGCAUUACUUGGCACUGAAAUACAGAGUAAAUGGGGUGGUUGGCGUAGUAAAAGGCGACCAGAGGAUGGCAAGGAGCUGUUAUGCUACAGCGGCCAAGGAGACACUACAGGUUACUUCUCUAGAUAAUCGAGGAGAGUCCAAAAAGGGCCGCCAAGAGCCUGUUGAGAAACUGGAGGAAGUUGCGGUAAGCAAAAGCAACCCGAGCAGGGUAGUGAAGAUCGGGUCAGGAAUGGUUGAGGAGCAAAAUGGCGAGCAGAUAUGCUUGAGCCUGGACCUGCUGGAGGAGAAAAGGGAAGGGGCUUCGCAGAAAGUGGCCCAGUGUCAGCAAAGGGUCACGCGUUAUUACAACAAGAACGUACGCGUGAGGCAGUUCCGAACAGAAGAUUGGGUGCUCAGGAAGGUGAACCAAAACACCAGGGAUCCCAACCACGGAGCUCUUGGUCCAAAAUGGGAAGGCCCGUACAGGGUGAUACGAGCAACUGGAUCAGGAGCCUACAAGCUGGCGUAUCCAGACGGACGAGAGGUGAAGAGGUCGUGGAACGCCGAGCACUUGAAAAAGUACUUCCAGUAAGCAAAGUGCUAUACUAAUUGUCAUUGUGAUAAGUUAUUUCUGUUAUGAGCACGGUGAUUUGUGACACACACAGAUAUCCCACACUUCUGUAAUGCAUUCGAAAUUCAAUAAAGGUGAAUUCAGUAUGGAACCCUUCUGCUAGCAAGCCCAUUAAAUGCUUACUAAGGCAGCAAAGUGCCUGUUUCGGCUCGGUCAACAAAAGAACAGCAGCUAAAGCUUCUAAAAAUCUGCUAAGGCAAAAAGCGUUUGUUUCUGCUCGGUCAACGAAAGACCAGCAGCUAAAGCUUCGAAAAAUCUGCUAAGGCAAAAAGCUCUUGUUUCUGCUCGGUCAACGAAAGACCAGCAACUAAAGCUUCGAAAAUUCUACUAAGGCAACAAAGUGCCUGUUUCUGCUCGGUCAACGAAAGACCAGCAGCUAAAGCUUCGAAAAAUCUGCUAAGGCAAAAAGCUCUCUGUUUCUGCUCGGUCAACGAAAGACCAGCAGCUAAAGCUUCGAAAAUUCUACUAAGGCAACAAAGUGCCUGUUUCUGCUCGGUCAACGAAAGACCAGCAGCUAAAGCUUCGAAAAUUCUACUAAGGCAACAAAGUGCCUGUUUCUGCUCGGUCAAGGAGAGACCAACAGCUAAAGCUUCGAAUAUUCUACUAAGGCAACAAAGUGCCUAUUUCUGCUCGGUCAACGAAAGACCAGCAGCUAAAGCUUCAAAAAUUCUACUAAAGCAACAAAGUGCCUGUUUCUACUCGGUCAACGAAAGACCAGCAGCUAAACUUCGAAAAUUUUACUAAGGCGAACAGAUGCCUAUUCCUGUUCGAUGCACUAAAGAACCAACAGGCAAAACCAGACAAGAAAGCCAAUAGAGAGCAUUCAAAAAAUUUUAUAAACGUUCAAAUGUUUACAAAGCAAAUGAAAAACUAGAGUCUUUACAAAAAUAGACCUAAGGAUUAGGAGGAUCAACGGCCUCAGCAGGUGAAGGGUCAGCUAUCUCGGGAGGUGGAAGGUCAGCAAUAUCGGGAGGAGGAGGCACGGACCCCUGUCCCACUUCAAAAACACGCCGCCCAGCUUCUCCCUCCUGCACCCCAUCCAAAGGAGCCUCCACCUGCUCCUGCUCACCUUGCCCCUUAUCUGCUUGGUCGACCUCCGCCAUAUACCGCUGCACUCCGGCCUCCAAUUUGCUCAUGUCCAUCUCGGGAUAUUCUGUCUUAAGCACAGACAUGAUGCAUCUCCUCAGCCAGCUGCUCGCCCAAGGAUUUGAUUUCCCCCUCAAGGGCGGCCCUCAAAGUAUCCCUUUCAGCUUGAGUAGCCUGAAGAUCAGAUCUCAGGUCACCCAACUCGCCCUCGAGUAUGGAGGAAGUGGAUUCAGCAACCGCAACUUUCUCCUCUAGCUCCAUAAUCCGCUUGCUCAGCUCAGCCAGCUUCUCCUUGGAGCGAUCAGCAGAGUCGGCUUUCUUCUUCAAUUCCUGAAUGUCAGCUUGGAGCUUUUUCUCAUGGCGCGCGGACCCAAGCUUGUAGCACGAAACCAUGGUGGCCAGCCUGAAGGACACUCUCUGAACAGAAGUAGCUAGCUCGGAGAGAUUCAUACUCUCGAUGUCCUUCACCAUUUUGGGCCUCACCGAUCUCUUGUAAUCCUUCUGAUAUAGGCUCAGGUAGUCCGCUUGAUCCCGAGAAGGUAGAGGAGAAGGUCGGUCCCCAGCCUGGUAGCUGACCUCAGGACUCUUAUCAGAAGUUUUCUUGCCACCACUCUUGCGGGGUGGAGGAGGGGGCAGAGCAGGGACAGGAGCUUUGGAAGGGCCGACGCUGGACUUCUUUAGAGGAGGAGGGGGGUUGUUGGAGCUGCCUGGAGCCCGACCACGCUUCCUGCUCAUCGCGCUAAGGAUCGUGUUAUCCAUUCCAGCAGCUAGGACUACUAGGCCCGAACCGACCAGGUUUGUUGGUGACAGGAGAUCUUGGCAGGUAGAAGCGUUCAACAAAGCAGUUUCCACCUGAAGCAAAAGGUCGAUCUUCAAGCCCCCCAAUCAAACCCCACGACUCUGAAACAUCAAAAGAGGUUAAAGAACUCGAUAAGUGACAAUUUGACUAAAAACAUAGGUAAAAAUGAGCGACAUGGGGUGACAAAAUUCGUUGGAAGGUAAAUAUCACCACCCAACGAAUGAGCUGCUGGACACCAAUUUCCCCCAGCAAAGAAGAAUUUGUUCUUCCAAUUUUUGCACGAAGAGGGGAAGCCGGUGAUUGGUUUCCUCUUCGCAGAGCUCGACAUGAAAUAAUACCAGCCUGCUUCCUUCGGGCUACUCCUCAGCUGGUAUAGGUGCUUCACUUCAACAAGGGAGGACUCCUCUGAUCCACACCUCUCCCACAACACAUACAUAGCCGAGAGAACCCUCCAUCCGUUGGGAUGAAGCUGACCUGGGGCCAGGUGCAUACCACCCAGUAUCUUAGCAAAAUAGCGUUGAAGGGGCAGCCGAGCUCCCAAUCUGAAGCUCUCCAGAUGCAUCGUCACAUACCCCCACGGAGGCCGACUAGGAAUGUCGCCUUUCCCAGGAACUACCAGGAGAACCUCCACCGGAAUGUUGUAAAGGUUCCUCAGCUUGAAUAGAUCAGUUUGGGUGGUCGCAUAAGCUAUGAAGUCAAUAGGGUAAGAAUUCGCCUCCACCCUAUGACCAAGGUGCCUUCUCUGAGGGGGUCUGCUCGGUCCGGAACUACUCCCCUCACCAUCACCAACUCCUUCAGGGACCCCAACCCCACCAUAACUGUGGUUCUCACCAGAGCCCGACGCAGGUCCACCUCUAUUCCCUACAAGCUCUAGUUCGGGAGAGGGAGAGACAACCAAGGGUCGUGGGUAUUCAAGGGUAUCCCUCCCAUGAGAAGGACCUACACUACUAGAGGGACCUAAGAAAUCUGUGGGUAUUGACACGUUGAGGCCUGAAUCCCCUGAUUCUUCAUCACCCUCAUCAACAAUUAACUUUCUUUUCCGGUUUGACAUAUCNNNNNNNNNNNNNNNNNNNNNNNNNNNNNNNNNNNNNNNNNNNNNNNNNNNNNNNNNNNNNNNNNNNNNNNNNNNNNNNNNNNNNNNNNNNNNNNNNNNNNNNNNNNNNNNNNNNNNNNNNNNNNNNNNNNNNNNNNNNNNNNNNNNNNNNNNNNNNNNNNNNNNNNNNNNNNNNNNNNNNNNNNNNNCUACUAGGCCCGAACCGACCAGGUUUGUUGGUGACAGGAGAUCUUGGCAGGUAGAAGCGUUCAACAGAGUAGUUUCCACCUGAAGCAAAGGUCGAUCUUCAAGCCCCCCGAUCAAACCCCACGACUCUGAAACAACAAAAGAGGUUAAAGAACUCGAUAAGUGACAAUUUGACUAAAAACAUAGGCAAAAAUGAGCGACCUGGGGUGACAAAAUUCGUUGGAAGGUAAAUAUCACCACCCAACGAAUGAGCUGCUGGACACCAAUUUCCCCCAGCAAAGAAGAAUUUGUUCUUCCAAUUUUUGCACGAAGAGGGGAAGCCGGUGAUUGGUUUCCUCUUCGCAGAGCUCGACAUGAAAUAAUACCAGCCUGCUUCCUUCGGGCUACUCCUCAGCUGGUAUAGGUGCUUCACUUCAACAAGGGAGGGCUCCUCUGAUCCACACCUCUCCCACAACACAUACAUAGCCGAGAGAACCCUCCAUCCGUUGGGAUGAAGCUGACCUGGGGCCAGGUGCAUACCACCCAGUAUCUUAGCAAAAUAGCGUUGAAGGGGCAGCCGAGCUCCCAAUCUGAAGCUCUCCAGAUGCAUCGUCACAUACCCCCACGGAGGCCGACUAGGAAUGUCGCCUUUCCCAGGAACUACCAGGAGAACCUCCACCGGAAUGUUGUAAAGGUUCCUCAGCUUGAAUAGAUCAGUUUGGGUGGUCGCAUAAGCUAUGAAGUCAAUAGGGUAAGAAUUCGCCUCCACCCUAUGACCAAGGUGCCUUCUCUGAGGGGGUCUGCUCGGUCCGGAACUACUCCCCUCACCAUCACCAACUCCUUCAGGGACCCCAACCCCACCAUAACUGUGGUUCUCACCAGAGCCCGACGCAGGUCCACCUCUAUUCCCUACAAGCUCUAGUUCGGGAGAGGGAGAGACAACCAAGGGUCGUGGGUAUUCAAGGGUAUCCCUCCCAUGAGAAGGACCUACACUACUAGAGGGACCUAAGAAAUCUGUGGGUAUUGACACGUUGAGGCCUNNNNNNNNNNNNNNNNNNNNNNNNNNNNNNNNNNNNNNNNNNNNNNNNNNNNNNNNNNNNNNNNNNNNNNNNNNNNNNNNNNNNNNNNNNNNNNNNNNNNNNNNNNNNNNNNNNNNNNNNNNNNNNNNNNNNNNNNNNNNNNNNNNNNNNNNNNNNNNNNNNNNNNNNNNNNNNNNNNNNNNNNNNNNNNNNNNNNNNNNNNNNNNNNNNNNNNNNNNNNNNNNNNNNNNNNNNNNNNNNNNNNNNNNNNNNNNNNNNNNNNNNNNNNNNNNNNNNNNNNNNNNNNNNNNNNNNNNNNNNNNNNNNNNNNNNNNNNNNNNNNNNNNNNNNNNNNNNNNNNNNNNNNNNNNNNNNNNNNNNNNNNNNNNNNNNNNNNNNNNNNNGGAUUUGAUUUCCCCCUCAAGGGCGGCCCUCAAAGUAUCCCUUUCAGCUUGAGUAGCCUGAAGAUCAGAUCUCAGGUCACCCAACUCGCCCUCGAGUUUGGAGGAAGUGGAUUCAGCAACCGCAACUUUCUCCUCUAGCUCCAUAAUUCGCUUGCUCAGCUCAGCCAGCUUCUCCUUGGAGCGAUCAGCAGAGUCGGCUUUCUUUUUCAAUUCCUGAAUGUCAGCUUGGAGCUUCUUCUUAUGGCGCGCGGACCCAAGCUUGUAGCACGAAACCAUGGUGGCCAGCCUGAAGGACACUCUCUGAACAGAAGCAGCUAGCUCGGAGAGAUUCAUACUCUCGAUGUCCUUCACCAUCUUGGGCCCCACCGAUCUCUUGUAAUCCUUCUGAUACGGGCUCAGGUAGUCCGCUUGAUCCCGAGAGGGUAGAGGAGAAGGUCGGUCCCCAGCCUGGUAGCUGACCUCAGGACUCUUAUCAGAAGUUUUCUCCCCACCACUCUUGCGGGGUGGAGGAGGGGGCAGAGCAGGGACAAGAGCUUUGGAAGGGCCGACGCUGAACUUCUUUGGAGGAGGAGGGGGGUUGUUGGAGCUGCCUGGAGCCCGACCACACUUCCUGCUCAUCGCGCUAAGGAUCGUGUUAUCCAUUCCAGCAGCUAGGACUACUAGGCCCGAACCGACCAGGUUUGUUGGUGACAGGAGAUCUUGGCAGGUAGAAGCGUUCAACAAAGCAGUUUCCACCUGAAGCAAAAGGUCGAUCUUCAAGCCCCCCAAUCAAACCCCACGACUCUGAAACAUCAAAAGAGGUUAAAGAACUCGAUAAGUGACAAUUUGACUAAAAACAUAGGUAAAAAUGAGCGACAUGGGGUGACAAAAUUCGUUGGAAGGUAAAUAUCACCACCCAACGAAUGAGCUGCUGGACACCAAUUUCCCCCAGCAAAGAAGAAUUUGUUCUUCCAAUUUUUGCACGAAGAGGGGAAGCCGGUGAUUGGUUUCCUCUUCGCAGAGCUCGACAUGAAAUAAUACCAGCCUGCUUCCUUCGGGCUACUCCUCAGCUGGUAUAGGUGCUUCACUUCAACAAGGGAGGACUCCUCUGAUCCACACCUCUCCCACAACACAUACAUAGCCGAGAGAACCCUCCAUCCGUUGGGAUGAAGCUGACCUGGGGCCAGGUGCAUACCACCCAGUAUCUUAGCAAAAUAGCGUUGAAGGGGCAGCCGAGCUCCCAAUCUGAAGCUCUCCAGAUGCAUCGUCACAUACCCCCACGGAGGCCGACUAGGAAUGUCGCCUUUCCCAGGAACUACCAGGAGAACCUCCACCGGAAUGUUGUAAAGGUUCCUCAGCUUGAAUAGAUCAGUUUGGGUGGUCGCAUAAGCUAUGAAGUCAAUAGGGUAAGAAUUCGCCUCCACCCUAUGACCAAGGUGCCUUCUCUGAGGGGGUCUGCUCGGUCCGGAACUACUCCCCUCACCAUCACCAACUCCUUCAGGGACCCCAACCCCACCAUAACUGUGGUUCUCACCAGAGCCCGACGCAGGUCCACCUCUAUUCCCUACAAGCUCUAGUUCGGGAGAGGGAGAGACAACCAAGGGUCGUGGGUAUUCAAGGGUAUCCCUCCCAUGAGAAGGACCUACACUACUAGAGGGACCUAAGAAAUCUGUGGGUAUUGACACGUUGAGGCCUGAAUCCCCUGAUUCUUCAUCACCCUCAUCAACAAUUAACUUUCUUUUCCGGUUUGACAUAUCGUAGUCCCGAAAGAAAACAAAGAAAACUCGAAUAAACUGAUACAAAAGGGGGCAACACAAAACCCAAUCAACAACAACCAAAGCAGGAGUUAAAGGCUGUACCUGGAAUACACUGGCACUGAUAAUGUUGCUGUGAUGAAGGUAAAAUCCCGCAAACGGAAGUCCCAGACGCAGAGAGUGUGAACGAAGUUCGUAGGAAUUGACUCGCGACAGAAGAACGAAUAGAACGAAACAACGAGGAUUUGGGUCUAGGGAUUCGAAGGGAAAAGGGAAAUGAAAGCAUUUAAAUAAGGGAGAUUCCAGCUCACUCACCAAAUAUCGAGGGCAGAUAGCCCGUCGUUUCAAAUUUCAAAUGCGAAGAGUCUGGAAAGGCCACGUCACUAACCGUUACAAGAGGCCAAUUUAGAUGAAAGCCCAGAUAGACAAUGGAUACACUCAUUCAGGCCCAUGGUCAGGUCGGGAACCCCCCCAGAAGAAGAAUGAUGCCUCAGGCCAGUCCCAAUAAACAGAAGAUCAGAUGAGAAGCUCCCUGGGUUGGUAAGAUUUGACCAUCAGUUUCUACUCUUAACUCAUUUCACUCGCCAGACCAGAAACUGGGGGACUGGUGUUGAGUACAUAAAAGCACCAGGUCGACCAUGCUAUUGUUUCCGCCCCAGCACGGAUCGCUUCAGCCGAGUGAUGCGAGCAGAACACGGGGGCAAACAUGAGCCGACCAGAAAUGAGUACAACCAGGAAAACAUACCGACCAUAGGUAUAUACCGAGCCGAUACUCAUCCCCAAGAAAGCGGGAACACGAUCCCACAAAAUCGCGGUAGUUGCGCUUUUCCCAGAACCGUUGAAGGACACGCGAGACCCACGUUUGCCCACAAUGUAACAGUUAGAGCCCCAUGAGGGGCUGCCACCACCCGAAAAAGGGGGGAUGAAGGAUAAACGGAAAACGUGAGACAUGGGGCGGCUAUAAAAGGGAGAGAAAUCGAUGAAGAAGGGGACCGAAAAAAUUGAGAGAGGGAAAACGCUGCCAAAUUGCAACCAGGCCAUUUUCUUGCAAAUCUCGAAUAAUUUAGAAACCAUUUUUUGCACUGUUUUCCCGUAAACACCUUGAGCUAACUUAGGCAUCGGAGGGUUUACGCCGGCACAACCACCGGCGUCUCUGAUCCAUUUUUAGUGAGCGCAGGUCUAUUGAGGGAAAGGAGGACGAUUCCAAUCCCAGUGGUUCGAGCAACAUUAGAUAACACAAGCGUUGGUGAAAGAAUCUGAUCAGUCAAAGGCGUGCAGAUUGGAGGAAUCUGGUCGGUCAAAGGGCGAGCAUAUUUAAGCAUCAACAGACAUACAUGUAAAAUAUUAUAAAAUGAGUAUCUUCCACUUUUGCAUAAUAGAUAAGCAUAAUCUUGUACCUUCGUUGUUGAAGCCGUAACAAAAUUAGAAAGUAUAUUCAAAAGCAAAAAUAAAUUACGAGUUUAUUGGUUAGCAGUUGCACCAAAAAAUAAAUAAAAUAAAAUAAAAGCUUGAACGACAUUGGCAUAUCAAACUAUAUGUGCGCCGGCGUCCAAUAUACACACGCUUAUUUUAAAAUCAUACAAUCACAGUAAAGAAAGAAAAAUACUUUUAAAUACGUAAUAUAUUUUUAUAGGAAGAUCCCAUAGCCAUUAGAGAAAAAUGAAAUAUUGUCCCCUGAAUUUUUAUAUGCCAAAUAAUGAUAUAGUAACAUUAUGAUCGUACUUUCACAUGUCACAUGUCACAUGUCACAUUUGUACAAAUUAUUUUAAUAUUUCGAGUAGUUUUUAAGUAAUUUUAUUUAACGAUUUAAUUAAAUUUAAAUUUUAAAAAAGGAUUAAUAGUUAAUUUAAACAUCCUUCAUCGCUCCACCUUUUGGAUAGAAAACUAUUACAAUAUUUGAAGUCUUAAAUGUUGGCAAAUUUCGGUCACAAUACAAAAAAGCAUUCCAUAUUUCCAUUAAGCUUUUAUUUUAUUAAUAUCUAUCCAAUUAUAUCUCCAUUUUCCAACUUUUCAUAAUUCUACUUCAACCUCCAUUUGCGUAUAAAAUUUAUAUAAACUAUUUGCAAGUCUUAAAUAAGAGAUAAAUCCAAACAUUUUUUAAAAAAAAAUUCUGUAUGGGUCAAAUUUUAAUAAAUUAAAUUAAAAAAAUCUUGACUUUAUGAUCUUUCUUCAACGUCAGACAAUCGAGGGUCCACGAGAAAGAAAUCGCAUGUCUUUAAUGAGCAGUCGCGUAACCUCUGCUUUGGUUCAUGAUCGACUGAUCAUAGACGUUCAAUUCGAUCAGUCAAAAAAUUAGGCAGCAAUUGGUCAACACGAUAUUUUGUUUUUUUGGUUGGGUUUUUAUGAAAGAGUCAACACAAAUCGAUUUUGCUUUCGUAACAGACGUUGGUGUGAGCAACAACUAUUCCACCAACUUGUCCACUUGAUGUUCAAAAAAUAAUGGAACCCAGGAAUUAUCUCCACAUAACAACAACAAAAAAAAAUAUUCAAAUUUAAUUAAUGUGACAAAUUGUAUCAAUGUGAAGCGUGUACACCACGAGCUUUCCACCUUCUUUUACUCCCUAGGGAUGAUCAUCGCUCAUAGGUCAUAUCAAAAUUUUCACCAAAAUAUUUGGAAAAAUAAAAAAUGAAAAAAGAAUUUAGAAUGCCCAUGUUGCCGAUUGACUAAUAAUCAAAAUCUUAAUUAUAUGAGUAGAAUGGCAAAUAGCAUGAUAUGAUUUGGAAGACGAAAAUAUGACGGGGAUAUGAUAUUUCAUUAGAAUUAAUUAAUUAAUUAAUAACAACUUGUUUGGUGGUGUGUUUAGCUACAACAACAAUAUUAAUAAUAGUGUUAACAAUUUUUUUUUUUUGAAUUCUGUUAUAUACAAUCGUACUAAACAACUGGGAUUACCGCCAUACAUUAAUCUACUGAAGCACUUGUCCAAAUACUUUAAACUCUCUCUAAUAUUCGAUGAGUACAUAUUUCACUCACAUUUCGUAAGGGAGAGACUGUCUUCACUCAAUUAGUUGAUAAUUGAGUGAGUACUGAAACUAACCUCUAUAAUGCUCUUAUAGAAGCUCGGACCCUUAUACUCAACUUUAUAAAUGCAAGACUUCUCUCAUUGGACCAAAGGACCAUUGGUAGUGUUAACAAUUUUUUAAAACUAAAAGUUUGGGCAAUGGAUAGAAACAUUGAACAUUAGAAUGUUAUAAUAAGCUGUGUUUCAACUUGGAAUUUUAUAACAAAAGUAAGGCACAAAAUAAGGGGGGAAAGCAUAGCGCAUUCUUCAUCAAAUUUCCUAUAAUGAUACGAAAAAUCUUAAAAUGAUAUGAAAUUAACCCACUUGUUUUUAUUUGAAGGCUUUUUCGCUUAAGUAGUCCGAUACUCUUUGACGAUCUCUAAUUUGGAUUAAGAAAAUAAUCUACACUAAACCGAUGUAUAGAAAAUUAAUAAUCCUCAUCUUGAUCUAGAUAGAUUACUGAAGCACCUUGAGAAAAAAACAACACAACUAAUAAACAAAUAUCACCAUUGAUUAAUUUAUACUAAAAAUCCAGAUAGAUUUUUUUUUUUUUUUUUAAUUUGCCAAAAUUAAGCUGCGGGGUCAGUGGAAGCAUUAUUUCCUCUGAUAGAUAUUAAUACGGCCAGAAGCAACAUGCAAGUGGGCGAUUAAACAGAAACGUGUUUUUUAUCUUCCAAAAGAAAAAAAAGAAAAAGAAAAAUAUAUAUAAAAAAUACAAGUUUUUGCUUUUUGAAAUUUUCCAAUUCAUUUUCUUUUUGUCGUUUUCGCAACUCUCUCUCGAUGUUCCCUGCGUACGCCAAAUUCUAAUGCAUGCACCUCUUUUUCGCCUUUAUUUAUUUAUUUAUUUGGCAAAAGACGAAUUUUCACCAUUUACCUUUCUUCACAUUCCCUCACUCCACCAUUUUUUGUUGGAUAAACUCUUGGUAAGACGUCACAUCUUGCGGAAGAUUCCAGCAAGCGCGGCAUUUCUUCUUUUCUUAAUUAAUUAAUCUACCCUCUCUUCUUUAUUGAUUUCACAAUGUUGCCAUUUUGCCCUAGUAGCCAUGGUAAAAUACUUUUCUCUUCCACCAAGAGAUUCUUUCUCACACAACAUGGAGUAAAAACUCGUUUAUUUUCUAUAAUACGAUAUUAGUGCCUGUUUAGUUUUAUGUUUGUUAAAAUAUCUCAAAACAUCUUUAUUAUCAAACUAUUGACACCCAUGUCAAUGCCGUUAUUUUUUGUCUUUUAUAAAUUAACUUUCUAAUAUAUUAACAUUAAUAAAAAUAUAUAUAUAUUAACUCCUCACAGAGUGUUCCACAAAAAUUAAUAUAUGUUUUCUUUUUAUUUUUAUUUUUAGAGUUAAAUUGGUAAUUUAAUUUUUUUCUUUUUAUUAAUGUAAAAAAAAAGGAAUGCUACAAUAUUAUAAAAGUAAGUUAAAUGGAACAAAAAUUAAUGUUUUUAAUAAUACAGGAAUUAAUCGAACAUUUUUACCCAACAUAAAAUAUUAUGUCGACUAUUUAACAAGUCAAUCACGUUCAUUUAUAUCUACUUUUUUACAAUUUUGAUCCAUGUAAUUGGAAGGUUAUCUCUGAAGUAGCUCUAUUAGUAAAGCUUCUAUUUAUAAAAAAAAAGUAAUACAUUAGUGAAAUUUUGUAGCCAAAUAUAAGUACAGUAAAAUCUAUUUAUAGUCAUAUUAUUGAAACUAGAGAAAUUUAUUCUUAUAAGGAGACUAUAACUCAAUAGAAGUAUAGUACAAAAAUUAUUAUCUUUACUUAAUUAUUCCUAAUGCAAGUGAUAUAGAGGUAAAUUAUGUCAUGUAUUAAUAAUCAAUUGGAUAUUAAUGUCUUCAUCAAUCAUCCAAGUGAACAAUAAGUUGGGUAUGCUUUAAUUGAAGAAGAAAUUAUUGAUACAAUUAGAUAAGAAGAGAAAUGGGAUAAUCCUGAAGAUGACAGUACAUAAAUACACAAAAGUUUCAUGCCAAUAAGCUACAAACAUACUUGAGAAAUUAUAAAUAUUUUAGAUUCAACAAGAAGAUGCCUAUGUUGACCAAUUAAUGCAUACCCGCAAGUUGAAAGAUGUGGUUACAGCUUUAAAGAACAAAUCAUUGUCCCAAGAAACUUUAAAAAUAUAUUUUGUUCCAGCUUAAUUAUUCAAUGGAACAUGGCAUAUAUUUUUGAAAUAUUAUUAUUAUGUGGAGGUAAGUUUAUUUAAGACGAGACCUACAAAAAAAUAUAACUUAUUACAAUGUAAAGUUUAUUCCUAAUUAUAACUAGUCUCAAGUUGGGGCCACAAUUUUUUAUUACUAAAUAUUCUUAUUUAAAUGUUUUACUAUAGAUAACAAUAGGAAAAUUUCACUCAAGUUGAGUUGGAUAACAAAUUAAAGUGAGAAAUAUUUGUAAAUCGAUGUUGUAAUUUGACCAAAACUAGAGAGAGAGAGAGAGAGAGAGAGAAUUUGUAUUCUAAUUGGAAAUAAACAAAUUUUUUUUAUUAAAAGGGGCUCAUCAAGACGAGCUAGACAGGAACAAGGCGGGGUUGACAAACCCCAAACAUAUCUUGCGAAAUAAUAGAAUAAAUACCCACAUAUGGGUUAGAGAAUAAAUGUAAGCCAUGUGGUACUAAGUGAGUCAUAUUUGCCAUGAAAUCUGCAACUGAGUUUGCUUCACGGUAGAUAUGCGAGAUAUAAAUCUGUCAAUUCCUGUUUAAAAAAUCACGAAUUGCCACCACUAACGCGUAGAAAACAUUAGGCACGACCACCUGCUGAGAGAUCAUCUGAGUUACACAGAGGUUGUCUACUUCCACCAAGAGAUGUCUGAUGCCAGCAUUCCAGGCAAGGGAUAAUCCUUGAUACAAGCUCCAAAGUUUAGCCAUAAUCAUUGAGCUUUCCCCAAUAUUCAUACUAAAACCUGAGAUCCAGUUGCCAAAAGAAUCGCGAAUAACCCCACCCGCUCCAGCUUCUCCUAUAUUUUUACAGGAACCAUCUGUGUUCAACUUACACCAAGGCCAUGGAGGAGGCAACCUACCAAUAAAAAUCUCCUUACGUCUUGGUUGUUGGCUAAGAUGAGAGUUAUUAAUUCUAUGAAUCUCACUGGCUCUGGCCAUAAUAUCCGAAUAUAUUGUCUUGCUAUCUACCAAAUUCCCAGCCAUAAUAAAGUGAUUCUGCCAAAACCAUAACUUUCAAAUAGCCACUCCAAAAAUACAAUCCCAAGAAAGCUCAAAAUCAAUUCUCCACUUGUUUUGCAUGUUGGCAGCAACUCAUGCACGUAAGUUAGAUUGGAAGAAAGAGAGUUGAUGACAAGCUAGAACAAGUCGAAGCCAUAGAUUCUUAAUGCAACUACAAUCUCUCACAGCAUGAAGAAUGUCCUCAGCCGAAACCCCACACCUAACACAAACAUCAGAAACGGGAAUAUUACGCCUAUUGAGCUCACUGUGGGUCUUCAAUUUGCCAUGCAAAAUCUGCCAAAUAAAGAGCUUUAUAGAUUGGGGCCCUUUCCAAGACCAUGGCAAGUUCCAUACUUUAUCUUGAGCAUCCAAGUUAUGAUGACAUAGAGACUCAUAAGCGGAUCGAACAAUGAACAUCCCUCUUGGAUUGAAACACCAAUAAAGUCUAUCAGGACCAAGAUGCGGAGCAGGAGGCAUGAUAGAAGCAAUCUGCAUAAGAAUAAAAAGGGGCAGCAGGAGUUCAAAGUUUGACCAUCUCCAGCCAUCAUGUUCAUUAGUAAAUUCACUGAUAGUGGCAUUGAGAGAGACCUGAGGGAUCGGUUGGAGAGCUGGCGAAUCAAAGGAUCAUAUUUCGUCACCCAACAGUCCAACCAGAACUGAAUUCUAGCACCAUUACACACUGUCCAGCAAGCUCCAUGGAUGGUUGCAUCCUACGUUUUCCUUAUAGCAGACAAGAUACGCGAUCCUUAUUUGUCAGGGAGGGAAGACGGCAAAUUGCAUGGGUGGGUCCAAUCCAUAUUUGGAACAGAGAACCCUCACCCACAACGUAUCCGAGUUGGAAAUAAUGCCCCAACUAAUCUUCAUCAACAGGGCAUGAUUCAUCACCUCUAAAUUUUUAAAACCCAAGCCACCACGUGAUUUUGGCAAGCAAAUUUUAUCCCAGCCCACCAUGCACAUCUUGUGACUCUUCGACUUCCCAUCCCAAAUAAAUCUACGGCAGCACUUAUCAAUUCUAUGGCGCACCGAUGAAGGAAGCAUGGUCGUUUGCAUUGCAUAAAUUGGCAUAGCUUGAAUCACCGAUUGCGCCAAAGUAACACGACCAGCAAAGGAUAAAUGAGCCGCAUUCCAGCCACUGAGCCUCAUGUCCACCUUGUCUAAAAUAGAUUGGUAAGUAGCUUUAUUCACCCUCGAAUGAAGUAACGGCACUCCAAGGUAGCUUCCCAAGUCAUGAGUAAUCGAAACCCCCAAGGCAGCACCAAUGAGCUUUGCCUCUCUUGAAGCAACAUUCUUCGAAAAGAAAAUUGUAGUUUUCGCUUUAUUAACCUUUUCUUAAGAACUUCGACAGUAGUUCUCCAAAACCGCAUCAAUAAUAUGAGCUUGAUCAAUUGAAGCUUCUGCAAAUAAGAGCAAAUCGUUAACAAAAAAAAGGUGGGUAAGGGGAGUGCCAUGUUUAACCAACCGAAUUGGCUUCCAACUUCCAUCCACCACAGCUUGGGAUAUUUCAUGGCCCAAACGCUCGAUGCAGAGCAUAAAUAUAUACGGAGAUAGAGGGUCACCCUGCCGAAUACCUCUUCCCGGAUAAAACUCUUCAGUUACCCCACCAUUCCACAAAAUGUUCAUGCUAGCUGAGGUAACACAUUCAAUGAUGAGCCGAGAUAAGUGAAUCGGGAGCCCCGUCUGUUGAAGAGUUUCAAAAAUAAAAGACCAGUUCAGCCAAUCAUACGCCUUCUCGAGAUCCACCUUAAUAGCCAUGAGCCCUAUUUUACCAGUUUUCCUGCGCAUGGAGUGAACCACUUCCUGAAACAUAGUGAAUAGAAUACAAGUUAGGUGAUUCUGCGGAAAUUUUUGUGCAGUCAAUUUAGCUCACCACCUCAUAUAAUUAGGUAGCCACAAAGACAAUCCACAUGCUUUUAGAACUCGUAAAAAUGCUUUACAGGAAACCACCAAGAAUCACAUGUGAUUAAAUAUGCCCAAAAAAAAGCCUAAUUUCAAAUCUCUUCAACCUAACCUUAGACCAAAUUUUACGGUUACUUGUUUAUAUAAGAUUUCCCAUGCAUUGAUAGCGCUUCCGGAUUUUAAACCACCACUAAUUGGUAGCUCAUAUAAUUUGCCAAAUAAAAUAACCCCAAUUAGUAUGUAUCAUUAUUGUGAAUUCCCAAUAACUUCAACAAAUAACUAUUUUUGAAAAGGAGAAAUUAUAAUUGUUGUAUUAUUAUGACAUAAAUAACAAAAUCUUCAUUGGGAGGCCCAUUACGAAAAGGAAUUAAAAGAUUGAGAAAAAAAAAUGAUGAUGAAAAUUUGUACAAGUGUAGUCCAUGCAGACUCGCAGAGCGCAAAUGCGGUAACUCCAUCAAAACGAACCACAUGACGCCAUUCUCUCACCUGACCCACACGGCUCCAACCCUCACCGGCCCCCCAAUUGUAAUUAGCCCCCUUUUUAAUCAAGCCCAAAAUUGUCAAAAAAUGUUUCCGCCUGAAUUCCCAUUUUUACCCUCUUCAUUUCAAUUUCUUUUCACUUUUGCCAUUUUGUCGCCGGUACCGUCCUUCAUCUCACCCACCACCCACCUCAAUCGAAUCAUCGCUUCUCUUGUUGAACAAUUAAUUUAAUACUUGUUUCAAUAUUUUUAAGUAUGGAAAUAAAUCUUAUAAGUCAAGUAAUCUUAUAGAUGAGUAGAUUUUGCAAAUCCCUUGUACAAAAUAAGACAUACAUGCUAUAACUCAAGCAUGUUUUGUUUUAUUGUUAAAUUAUUUAAAAUAAUAAUAAUAGUAAUAAUAAAAAAAUUACUUCUAUUAAUGCAUUUGUUUACAUCUGAACGGGUCACGUAACAUCCUCAUAAAUGGAUUUUAAAUGCAUGAACAUUAUAAUGUCACAAGAUAUUGUUGUUCGAUAAAAAUAAAAAAUAAAUAAUAAGAAUAAUAUAAAAUUAAUAAUAAGAAUAAUAAUAUUAUUAUUCUAAAAUAUCAUUAUCGUUAAACCAUAAUAUAAUUAUUGCCAUCACUAAAUUAGGUCAAAAUAAUGAAAUCAAGAAUACUAAUUGUUAAGUUAACAUGUAAUUCAUGCUGUCACAUAAAGGCGAGAGCAAUAAAAAUAAGAUUAUUUAGGUAAAGUGCAGUUUGUAAAAUUAGUUAUUUUUAAAUGUUCAGAUCACAUAAUAGUCAAUAAAUAAAUUUUAAAUAUAUGAAUGUUAUGAUGUCAAAUAAUAUUGUCAAUCUGUAUAAACGUUAUAAAAUCUCAUGAUAAUAUCAUUUUUAAGUAUAAUAUAUACUCUCGUAUGAAUCGCACUCACUUUGUAAUACCAGAUAGUAAUAACUGAAAUUGGAAGUUUCAAUAACAUGAGUUUGCUACCAAGAUUAUCAAGAGUACAUACAUGAUCAGGGUAUAAAAAAUUAAAAAGAAAAAAUUAGUGUUUAUCAUUCAUGGCAUUUAGUCGGUUUAGGUGUAGCUCUUGAACCAAAAUGUAAUUACCGCGCCACUCGAGGUUAAAAUAGUCUAAUAACAUCUCUCUACAAUAUAAAGCCGUCUACCCUCCGCCAACCCUUGAACCUCAUCAUUCACUAGACACUGAAGAAUCCAAAACUCUCUCAAGCCAACAAAAGCAAAUUUUUAUAUUUAACCCAUUCUCUUCUAAAAAUCUUUUCUCUUUAGUCCCUGAACAAACCAGAAGAAACGAUAAACCCUUAACCAUGUGUGGAGGUGCUAUCAUUUCGGGCUACAUCCCGCCCACCGUGCCGGGCCGGCCAAAGAAGCUGACGGCGGAGUAUCUCUGGCCGGAGCUGAAGAGGUCAUCGAAAUUAAAAAACUUGGAAGCGUUGGAUUUGAGUGAUAAUUAUAUUAUACACGGUUCUUUAGAAGGUAAUUUUUUUAAUUAAACAAUUUACACAGUUAAUUUUCAUUCAAUAUUUAUCAUAUUAUUUAAUUAAACAAUUUAGAUGAGAGUGACUUAAUUAUUAUUGAUAAAAUUUAUAUUUUUUUAAUAAGAUUAGCAAAUUUGACAAACCUGCAAGUGUUGAAUUUAAGCGAUAAUGAAAAUUUGACAGCGCUAGGUAAGCCACUCAAAUCUAUGUAAGCCAUUUAUUUAAAAAUUUUACCUUGGCUUUCUAAAGAACCGUUUAUAUUAUUGUCACUCAAAUACAAUGCUUCCAAGCUUUUCAAUUUAACUAUUUUUUAAAUAAUUAAACUAUUUAUCAAAAUUCAAAUAUUACUUGGCCAUGUUACGGAUAAGCUUAUACUAUUUUGGAAAAAAAUAGAGGAAUAGAAGAAUUAAGUCAAUAAAUUUUAAAAAAUGUUUAUAAUCUUUGGGUUGUUAUAUACAUUUAUCAAUAAUACUUUAAAAACACUAAAAAGAGAGGGUUGUCGAAAACUUUUUCUAAAUUCGACAUUAAUAGGAAGUGAAUUGCUGUAGACCUUGAAUUGUGGUUAUUCCACAAUCACGAAGAUCCAAUGCUUUUGAAUGAAAAUAUUACAUUCAAAGCAUUGUAUGUAAUCCGUGCACUUGAUAAACAUUAAUUCUUAAUUUGCUUCUUAUCUCAGACGUUGUGGCUUACCUAGCGUUGUCAAAUUUUCAUUAUUAUCGCUUAAAUCAAACACUUGCAGGUUUGUCAAAUUUGCUAAUCUUGUUUAAAAAAAUAUAAAUUUUUUCAAUAAUAGCUAGGUCACUCUCAUCUAAAUUGUUUAAUUAAAUAAUAUGGUAAAUAUUGAAUGAAAAUUAACUGUGCAAAUUGUUUAAUUAAAAAAAUUACAUUCUAAAGAACCGUGUAUAAUAUAAUUAUCACUCAAAUCCAACGCUUCCAAGUUUUUUAAUUUAGCUAAUCCUGCACCAAGAAAGAAGAAAAAUUUUAUUAAUCAUCUUUGGAAAAAAAAAGAAUUAAGAUUAAGAAAAAAAUUUCAAAGUUAGAUUAAAUAAUUGUAGUAAUAUUUUUUUUUUGGUAGCUUAUUUUCUGUUUUUUAUUUUAAUUUUUAACAAGUUAUGGAAUUUGAGUAGAUGCUUUGAUCUUCACUUUCCUUUGUCUUUAUUUUAGGGGUAAAAAUAAAUUUUUAUGACUUGGCGCUGAUUGUCAUCUAAAGUUCUGAUUUUUGUUUUGUAUAAAAGAAGUUUCUUGUUGGGUUGGAGUUUAAAGUCCUUGUUGGCUUUUGAUCCUGGUUUGUGGAUCAUUUGUUCCAAUCAAGCUUUUCUUUUGUCCUUGAAUUGACAUUUUUAAUUUGUGCUGUUGGAAGUUAGUUUUGUGAUGCAGAUGUUCGAUGAUAAUUCUGAUGAUCAUAUUUUAGAGAUGUUCUUUCUUGGAAUUUUUUCUUCUUUGUUUAGAUAGAUGGGAUGUCCAGACUUGCAUAGAUUAUUCACUAGUUUGCUUGCUCAGUCAAAUCAAGCAUCUAUUGACAUGAUCUAUUAUAUUGGUUGGAUUAGAGGUUUCUGUUGCUUAGCUUUAUAAAAUGGAAGCUUAAAGUUUUCCUCCUUUUUUUUUUUCUAUAUUUUGUUUUAUGUGAAAUGGUUGAAAUUUUCGGUUCUGGGAUCUUAAGAGGAGAUAAAAUUAUCACUUGAUCUACCUUUUUGUGUAACCAUUUGGUAGUAAUUUUUUCAGUUAUCUCUUUGUCAUUUGUUUGGUUUUUAGUGUGUUGCAGUUAUAUAGAUAGGGAAAAUUCAUUUUUCUGAUCUUGUAAUGGAAAACAAUGGAUUUCUUGUUGUACAUAGAAUUGUUUCUGGGCUUGCUGCUCUGUUAAAGGCGGCACACCCUGAUUGGAGCCCUGCAGCAAUAAGGUCUGCAUUGAUGACAACUGCUUAUACAGUUGAUAAUCGGGGUGAGACGAUGAUUGAUGAGUCUACUGGGAAUACUUCCACUGCGUUAGAUUUUGGAGCUGGUCAUGUUCACCCCCAAAAGGCAAUGAAUCCUGGGCUGAUUUAUGAUUUGACUUCAUAUGAUUAUGUGAAUUUCUUGUGCAAUUCAAAUUACACGGUUAAUAAUAUUCAAGUGAUCACUAGGAGAAAAGCAGAUUGCAGCGGAGCAACAAGAGCUGGUCAUGUUGGGAAUUUGAAUUACCCUUCAUUGUCUGCAGUGUUUCAACAAUACGGCAAGCAUAAGAUGUCUACGCAUUUCAUUAGGACGGUGACUAACGUCGGAGAUCCUAAUUCGGCUUACAAAGUUACAAUCAGGCCACCCAGUGGCAUGACAGUGACAGUACAGCCGGAGAAGCUUGUGUUUAGGCGGGUGGGACAGAAAUUGAACUUUCUGGUUAGAGUUGAAGCAACGGCAGUUAAGCUCUCCCCCGGGAGCUCAAGCAUGAAGAGUGGUAAAAUAGUAUGGUCAGAUGGGAAGCACAAUGUCACUAGUCCCAUAGUCGUGACAAUGCAUGCAAGAUUAUGAUCUUACUUUUACUCGCCGCCUUUAACUUUUGUUCAAACUAUUUCAAAUAAAAAACUAUUUUGAGUCCUUCUAAAUGUUGGCAAAUUUGGGUCACAUAUGAAUCCUUCAAAUAAAUGAC
rnacentral:lncRNA from 1 species